rnacentral:rRNA from 1 species
GUCGAGGAUCUUCCGCAAUGGGCGCAAGCCUGACGGAGCGACGCCGCGUGGAGGACGAAGGCCUUAGGGUUGUAAACUCCUGUCGAGGGUUAUGAAUGGCGUUUGGUGAACAGCCGAACGAGUGACGUAAGCCCUGGAGGAAGCACCGGCUAACUCUGUGCCAGCAGCCGCGGUAAUACAGAGGGUGCUAACGUUGUUCGGAAUUACUGGGCAUAAAGCGCACGUAGGCGGCGCGUCGAGUGCGGGGUGAAAUCCCACGGCUUACCCGUGGAACAGCUUUGCAUACUGGCGUGCUUGAGUGCGGUAGAGGAGAGCGGAACUCUUGGUGGAGCGGUGAAAUGCGUAGAUAUCAAGAGGAACACCGAAGGCGAAGGCAGCUCUCUGGGCCGUAACUGACGCUGAGGUGCGAAAGCCAGGGGAUCAAACGGGAUUAGAUACCCGGGUAGUCC